rnacentral:lncRNA from 1 species
GUGGGACGCAGAACCUGCCUGCUCUGCAGGUCUGAAGGAGAGACUGUUGAACUUCACAGACUUCCGGAAAAACAGGCGGUACCCUCCAUGGGACAGAACUCUGCUUACAAACUUUAAAACUGGAUGAUGCAAAAAUUACCUGCACAGCAGAGGAGGACAACGAACCAUAAAGGGGGCUCAAGAUCUGCAUAUUCAACAAGCUUCCCAAGGGAUUUUGAUGGAUUCAGAACCACCCUCUACAAAUCCCUUCUAACCACAACAAAAUGGAUGGGCUGAGUGUUCAUAUUGCCUCACCUUUCAUCAAAGCACCAUCUGGGAACCAGAACUUGGCAUUUGAGAAAAAUCAGAGAUGACUAAGAAUAAGAACAAUCUCAUCAGGAGAAGAGCCGUUGAUCUCCUGUUCCUCUUCUAGAAGAAUUGAGAACAGAAAGGAUCAUUAAACAUCACCUACUCCAAAUGCAUUCGUUUCCAGAACUCCACA